AGAGAAGCUUGCUUCUCUUGAGAGCGGCGGACGGGUGAGUAAUGCCUAGGAAUCUGCCUGGUAGUGGGGGAUAACGUUCGGAAACGGACGCUAAUACCGCAUACGUCCUACGGGAGAAAGCAGGGGACCUUCGGGCCUUGCGCUAUCAGAUGAGCCUAGGUCGGAUUAGCUAGUUGGUGAGGUAAUGGCUCACCAAGGCGACGAUCCGUAACUGGUCUGAGAGGAUGAUCAGUCACACUGGAACUGAGACACGGUCCAGACUCCUACGGGAGGCAGCAGUGGGGAAUAUUGGACAAUGGGCGAAAGCCUGAUCCAGCCAUGCCGCGUGUGUGAAGAAGGUCUUCGGAUUGUAAAGCACUUUAAGUUGGGAGGAAGGGCAGUUACCUAAUACGUAAUUGUUUUGACGUUACCGACAGAAUAAGCACCGGCUAACUCUGUGCCAGCAGCCGCGGUAAUACAGAGGGUGCAAGCGUUAAUCGGAAUUACUGGGCGUAAAGCGCGCGUAGGUGGUUAGUUAAGUUGGAUGUGAAAUCCCCGGGCUCAACCUGGGAACUGCAUU
rnacentral:rRNA from 1 species